rnacentral:rRNA from 1 species
UACGUAGGGGGCAAGCGUUGUCCGGAUUUAUUGGGCGUAAAGAGCUCGUAGGCGGCGCGGUAAGUCGGGUGUGAAAUCUUGGAGCUUAACUCCGAAACUGCAUUCGAUACUGCCGUGCUUGAGGACUGGAGAGGAGACUGGAAUUUACGGUGUAGCGGUGAAAUGCGUAGAUAUCGUAAGGAAGACCAGUGGCGAAGGCGGGUCUCUGGACAGUUCCUGACGCUGAGGCACGAAGGCCAGGGGAGCAAACGGG